UACGGAGGGUGCGAGCGUUGUCCGGAAUCACUGGGCGUAAAGGGCGCGUAGGCGGCCUGAUAAGUAGGGGGUGAAAUCCUGCGGCUUAACCGCAGGGCUGCCUUCUAAACUGUCAGGCUCGAGCACAGUAGAGGCAGGUGGAAUUCCCGGUGUAGCGGUGGAAUGCGUAGAGAUCGGGAAGAACAUCAGUGGCGAAGGCGGCCUGCUGGGCUGUUGCUGACGCUGAGGAGCGAAAGCCAGGGGAGCAAACGGG
rnacentral:rRNA from 1 species